rnacentral:rRNA from 1 species
AGUGAACGCUGGCGGUAGGCCUAACACAUGCAAGUCGAACGGCAGCACAGUAAGAGCUUGCUCUUACGGGUGGCGAGUGGCGGACGGGUGAGGAAUACAUCGGAAUCUACUUUUUCGUGGGGGAUAACGUAGGGAAACUUACGCUAAUACCGCAUACGACCUACGGGUGAAAGCAGGGGAUCUUCGGACCUUGCGCGAUUGAAUGAGCCGAUGUCGGAUUAGCUAGUUGGCGGGGUAAAGGCCCACCAAGGCGACGAUCCGUAGCUGGUCUGAGAGGAUGAUCAGCCGCACUGGAACUGAGACACGGUCCAGACUCCUACGGGAGGCAGCAGUGGGGAAUAUUGGACAAUGGGCGCAAGCCUGAUACAGCCAUACCGCGUGGGUGACGAAGGCCUUCGGGUUGUAAAGCCCUUUUGUUGGGAAAGAAAAGCAGCAGGUUAAUACCCCGCUGUUCUGACGGUACCCAAAGAAUAAGCACCGGCUAACUUCGUG